GGUGANUAACACGNGAGUAACCUGCCCUNNANUCUGGGAUAACUCCGGGAAACCGGUGCUAAUACUGGAUAGGACUCCUGCCUGCAUGGGUGGGGGNGGAAAGANNUAUCGGUGAUGGAUGGACUCGCGGCCUAUCAGCUUGUUGGUGGGGUAAUGGCCUACCAAGGCGACGACGGGUAGCCGGCCUGAGAGGGUGACCGGCCACACUGGGACUGAGACACGGCCCAGACUCCUACGGGAGGCAGCAGUGGGGAAUAUUGCACAAUGGGCGAAAGCCUGAUGCAGCGACNCCGCGUGCGGGAUGACGGCCUUCGGGUUGUAAACCGCUUUCAGUAGGGACGAAGCUUUGGUGACGGUACCUACAGAAGAAGCACCGGCUAACUACGUGCCAGCAGCCGCGGUAAUACGUAGGGUGCGAGCGUUGUCCGGAAUUAUUGGGCGUAAAGAGCUUGUAGGCGGUUUGUCGCGUCUGCUGUGAAAGCCCGGGGCUUAACCCUGGGUCUGCAGUGGGUACGGGCAGGCUAGAGUGUGGUAGGGGAGACUGGAAUUCCUGGUGUAGCGGUGGAAUGCGCAGAUAUCANGAGGAACACCGAUGGCGAANGCAGGUCUCUGGGCCACUACUGACGCUGAGAAGCGAAAGCGUGGGGAGCGAACAGGAUUANAUACCCUGGUAGUCCACGCC
rnacentral:rRNA from 1 species